AGCAGUAAAAAACACAGAAUUGGUAAUGGAAAUAGGAGCAAAUAACACUGCAGGGCUGUGCUGAGUUUAGGUGUCCCACUUCACCAUCUAAGUGUGGAACUUUAAGCAAUGGGUGACUCUUUAGCAAAAUUUUGCCAGGCCCCAGGGACAGAAAUAACACAUGUGGCAGAGUAAUGAAGACCUGUAGAUGGCUCAAUUAUUGGGCUGUUCUACUACUGAAAUGCAUUCAUUACUUUUUCCAAAAGAGGAAGUCCACCCGACUAUCAAAGACAUGAUGUCCCUCUAACAGUGAGGUAAGGACCAGUGUAAAAAGUUAUUUAGAUUAGGGAACACUUGUGUAAUUUCAUUUUUCUUUCUGUGAAGAAUACAGAAUACAAAAGAAAGGUUGUUAGAUGAACAAGGUUACAUAGUUAAUAAAGAAAUUGACUGCAAAUGGAUGAUAUUAAUACUGAAGACACAAUACUCAAGUAGUUGAUACAGCUUUUACUAGCAAGAUAUUUAAAGCAGGACAGCAUUCCUGGCUGAGUAUUGAAGAAAACAAGAUGUUCAGCAAAAUCAGAAAUAAAGAUAAGGAUAGAAUAAACCAUGAGUAGUUCUGAACACAGUCAUUUGGUAACAUAAGUUCUUGGGAUAGUGUGACUGUGUUGGAUCUCAAGGGUAAGAGAAGGGUAUCAGAGACAGCAACAGGUAUGAAUAGAUACCAUAACAGUGUUAAGGAGAUGCAGAUUACUGGGGAUUGUGUUGAUAUGUGUUAAGCCUUAUACAAUGCCUUAAUUUGCCUGGUGUAGACUGGAGAACAAGUGGUCUUGAUGACAGCUGGGCCCAGGUAUUCCAGGGUGUGAGUGGUCACAAAUUUCUUUGUUGAAGUGACGGAAUUUUGUAUUCUAAGCAUGAGGAAAAUCUUAGAGAGAAGCUCUCCAGGUUCAGUAAGAUAAAUAACAGCUUCAAGAAGGAGAUUAGAAGAGAGUUUUCAAGGGGAGGAAAAAGGGCCCUCAGCAGUCAUAGAGGUCAACAUGUGGAGGAAUGAAGUGCAAACUGCCAAAUGUCGGGUCGAGAUAGACCUAGCAAAAGAUGUUAGAACAAAUAUCAGAAGGUUCUUGAGUUGUAUAGGAAAAGAAAUGCUAUGCAGUGGGAUAUUCAUAAUGGUUAAGGAUAAUAAAAUGUGACAGCAAGAUCAAAUUAAUACUUGGAUUCACAUUUCAGUAGAAGCUAUAGACUCUGAGGCAGAGGCAUAGCAGCCAGUGGGAAAGAAAAUGAGAGAAGUUUUAAGAUGAGAUUUUGAAGGAAAGUAUAAUUGGAACUACUAAUGAGCUAAAUCUCUAAUAAACCAUGGAUGUGAGAAAAUGCAGCAUGAACUUGUCAAAGGUGUGCAGUGGCUGUGUAAAUUGAUAGACUCACAGAUUCAUAGAAUGGUGGAGGUUGGAAGGGACCUCUGGAGGUCACCUGGUCCAAACCCUUGCUCAAGCAGGGACACUUAGAACAUGUUGCCCAGGUCCAUGUUGUGGUGGCCUUUGAAGAUCUCCAAAGGAGAGAGUCUAUAAAACCUGUCUGGGAAACUGUUUCCAGUGCUCAGUCACCUGCUCAGUACAGAAAUGCUUCCUGAUGUUCAAACAGAACCUCUCGUGUUCCAGUUUGUGCCCAUCGUCUCUUGUCCUGGCAUUGAGCACCACUGAAAAGAGUAUGUCUCUGUCUUCUUUGCACCCUCCUUCAGAUUCCCCUCUUCAUGAGAGCAUAUGAGUGUUAUAUAUCUGUUGCAGUGCUGUGUAGUAGCUUCUCUUCCUUGUGGAAAAAGAAUAUGAAAUGGGGUGACAAUGUUAUAAGUAAUUUGAUAAUUUCAACACAAAUUCUAAAAUUGGUGUGAAUGGAGAAUGAAUGGGAAUUCCCAGGCGUUCAGCCACCUUAUGGAGUCCACAGCAAGGAGAGGGGGCUCCCAGAAUGGCCUCUGCUAAUGGCAUCUGGAUUAACAGUUCAUCAGGACCCCGUCACAUCCACCUGCAGUUUCACAACAUGCUUGGAAAAUCCAGCUUGUGGAAAGGAGACCAGUGCUACACAGUCCUGGGUUGAUACAUUUAACAAUUGUUUCUUUUGCUUUCUGCAUCUGAUGAGGUAUUUUUUGGGAGCUGUUCCAAAAAUGGGGGUUUUGCUGGGGUUCAGGAAGAAUGACUCUGUGUUUUACAAUGUGGUUUUGUUCCCUUAUAAAAAUUUAAAAAACUCCACACAAUAAGAACCCAAAAUCAUGCGGCAUACAGUGUGAUUUUCUGAGCUCCCUCUGGGAAGACCUUUGCAUGGUUUUGCUGUGGCAACUGAUAACAGUGAGCAGCCCACACUGCGAAUGUUUCUGCAAGCUGUUGGCACAGCUCAC